UAAAGAAAUACAAUAAAUAAGAUCUAGUAUUUGAUACCACAACAGGGUGACUACAGUCAGUAACAAUUUGUUGUACAUUUAGAAAUAACUAAAAUAGUAUAAUUGGAAUGUAUUUAGCAUAAAGCAGCGAUAAAUGCUUGAGGUGAUAGAUACCCAUUUACCGUGAUAUGAUUAUUUUUUAUUUUUAUUUUUUUUGAGAUGAGCUCGCACUGUCGCCCAGGCUGGAGUGCAGUGGCACAAUCUC